rnacentral:rRNA from 1 species
UACGGGGGGAGCAAGCGUUGUUCGGAUUUACUGGGCGUAAAGGGCGCGUAGGCGGUCAGCACAAGUCAGUUGUGAAAUCUCCGUGCUUAACUCGGAAAGGUCAACUGAUACUGUGCGACUAGAGUGCAGAAGGGGCAACUGGAAUUCUUGGUGUAGCGGUGAAAUGCGUAGAUAUCAAGAGGAACACCUGCGGCGAAGGCGGGUUGCUGGGCCGACACUGACGCUGAGGCGCGAAAGCCAGGGGAGCGAACGGG